GAUGAACGCUGGCGGCGUGCCUAAUACAUGCAAGUCGAGCGGUAAGGCCCUUCGGGGUACACGAGCGGCGGACGGCUGAGUAACACGUAGGAACGUACCCAAACUAGAGGGAUAAGCACCAGAAAUGGUGUCUAAUACCGCAUGUGAUCUUCGGAUUAAAGCUUCGGCGGUUUGGGAACGGCCUGCGCAUGAUUAGCUUGUUGGUGAGGUAAUUGCUCACCAAGGCGACGAUCAUUAGCUGGUCUGAGAGGAUGACCAGCCAGACUGGAACUGAGAACGGUCCAGACUCCUACGGGAGGCAGCAGUAGGGAAUUUUCCACAAUGGGCGAAAGCCUGAUGGAGCAACGCCGCGUGCAGGAUGAAUGUCUUCGGAUUGUAAACUGCUUUUAUAUGUGACGAUAAUGACGGUAGCAUAUGAAUAAGGAUCGGCUAACUCCGUG
rnacentral:rRNA from 1 species